GCCUACUUGGCUCAGUUGGUUUGAGCAUCACGAUCGCAAGUCGUGACGAUGUGGGUUCAACUCCCACAGUAGGCA